GAUGAACGCUGGCGGCGUGCCUAAUACAUGCAAGUCGAGCGAACGGACGAGAAGCUUGCUUCUCUGAUGUUAGCGGCGGACGGGUGAGUAACACGUGGAUAACCUACCUAUAAGACUGGGAUAACUUCGGGAAACCGGAGCUAAUACCGGAUGAUAUUUUGAACCGCAUGGUUCAAAAGUGAAAGACGGUCUUGCUGUCACUUAUAGAUGGAUCCGCGCUGCAUUAGCUAGUUGGUAAGGUAACGGCUUACCAAGGCAACGAUGCAUAGCCGACCUGAGAGGGUGAUCGGCCACACUGGAACUGGGACACGGUCCAGACUCCUGCGAGAGGCAGCAGUAGGGAAUCUUACGCAAUGGGCGAAAGCCUGACGGAGCAACGCCGCGUGAGUGAUGAAGGUCUUCGGAUCGUAAAACUCUGUUAUUAGGGAAGAACAUAUGUGUAAGUAACUGUGCACAUCGUGACGGUACCUAAUAAGAAAGCAACGGCUAACUACGUG
rnacentral:rRNA from 1 species